GACGCACUCUGGCGGCGUGCUUAACACAUGCAAGUCGAACGAAGACGUCUUGAAACUCCUCCUUCGGGAGGAGCGGACAGACGGACUGAGUGGCGGACGGGUGCGUAACGCGUGAGCAACCUGCCCUGCAAAGGGGGAUAACAGCCGGAAACGGCUGCUAAUACCGCAUAAGACCACAGCCUGGCAUCAGGCAGCGGUAAAAGGAUCUUCGGAUCCGAUGCAGGAUGGGCUCGCGUCCCAUUAGACUGUUGGUGAGGUAACGGCUCACCAAAUCUGCGAUGGGUAGCCGGCCUGAGAGGGCGACCGGCCACACUGGAACUGAGACACGGUCCAGACUCCUACGGGAGGCAGCAGUGGGGAAUAUUGGGCAAUGGAGGAAACUCUGACCCAGCAACGCCGCGUGAGGGAUGAAGGCCUUCGGGUUGUAAACCUCUGUCCUGUGGGACGAAACAAAUGACGGUACCACAGGAGGAAGCUCCGGCUAACUACGUGCCAGCAGCCGCGGUAAUACGUAGGGAGCAAGCGUUGUCCGGAAUUACUGGGCGUAAAGGGUGCGUAGGCGGUCUUUUAAGUCAGAUGUGAAAGACCGGGGCUUAACCCCGGGAUUGCAUUUGAAACUGGGAGACUUGAGUGCAGGAGAGGUAAGUGGAAUUCCUAGUGUAGCGGUGAAAUGCGUAGAUAUUAGGAGGAACACCAGUGGCGAAGGCGGCUUACUGGACUGCAACUGACGCUGAGGCACGAAAGCGUGGGGAGCAAACAGGAUUAGAUACCCUGGUAGUCCACGCUGUAAACGAUGAACACCAGGUGCAGGGGACACAGGUCUUCUGUGCCGAAGCAAACGCAUUAAGUGUUCCGCCUGGGGAGUACGAUCGCAAGGUUGAAACUCAAAGGAAUUGACGGGGGCCCGCACAAGCAGCGGAGCAUGUGGUUUAAUUCGAAGCAACGCGAAGAACCUUACCAAGGCUUGACAUCGCCUGACAGGUGCAGAGAUGCACCCUCCCCUCGGGGCAGGCAGACAGGUGGUGCAUGGUUGUCGUCAGCUCGUGUCGUGAGAUGUUGGGUUAAGUCCCGCAACGAGCGCAACCCUUAUCACCAGUUGCCAGCGCGUAAUGGCGGGAACUCUGGUGAGACUGCCGGGGAUAACUCGGAGGAAGGUGGGGAUGACGUCAAAUCAUCAUGCCCCUUAUGUCUUGGGCUACACACGUGCUACAAUGGCCGGUACAAAGGGCAGCGAAGCCGCAAGGCGGAGCGAAUCUCAAAAAGCCGGUCCCAGUUCGGAUUGAGGGCUGCAACCCGCCCUCAUGAAGUCGGAGUUGCUAGUAAUCGCGAAUCAGCAUGUCGCGGUGAAUGCGUUCCCGGGCC
rnacentral:rRNA from 1 species